UUUGUUGAAAGCUUUAGUGGUUUUGGAUGGACUCGCGGCCUAUCAGCUUGUUGGUGAGGUAAUGGCUUACCAAGGCGACGACGGGUAGCCGGCCUGAGAGGGUGACCGGCCACACUGGGACUGAGACACGGCCCAGACUCCUACGGGAGGCAGCAGUGGGGAAUAUUGCACAAUGGGCGAAAGCCUGACGCAGCGACGCCGCGUGAGGGAUGACGGCCUUCGGGUUGUAAACCUCUUUCAGUAGGGAACAAGGCCACACGUUGUGUGGUUGAGGGUACUUGCAGAAGAAGCGCCGGCUAACUACGUGCCAGCAGCCGCGGUAAUACGUAGGGCGCAAGCGUUAUCCGGAAUUAUUGGGCGUAAAGAGCUCGUAGGCGGUUUGUCGCGUCUGCCGUGAAAGUCCGGGGCUCAACUCCGGAUCUGCGGUGGGUACGGGCAGACUAGAGUGAUGUAGGGGAGACUGGAAUUCCUGGUGUAGCGGUGAAAUGCGCAGAUAUCAGGAGGAACACCGAUGGCGAAGGCAGGUCUCUGGGCAUUAACUGACGCUGAGGAGCGAAAGCAUGGGGAGCGAACAGGAUUAGAUACCCUGGUAGUCCAUGCCGUAAACGUUGGGCACUAGGUGUGGGGGACAUUCCACGUU
rnacentral:rRNA from 1 species